AGUCAAGGCGGCGUUCCUCCCUCACGUGGGUCGGCAUUUCAAACAAACAGCGGCAUCAU
rnacentral:snoRNA from 1 species